CGUGGGAACCUGCCCUUCAGUGAGGAAUACCGGCGAGAAAUCGCCGACAAGACCGCAUAGCCUUGGAUGGUGAGAGCCAUGUAAGGAAAGCUUCGCAAGAGGCGCUGGAGGAGGGGCCUGCGUCCGAUUAGCUAGUUGGUGGGGUAAGAGCCUACCAAGGCGUCGAUCGGUAGCUGGUCUGAGAGGACGAUCAGCCACACUGGGAUUGAGAACGGCCCAG
rnacentral:rRNA from 1 species